GCAGAGGUAGCUAAGCCCGGUUUAAGGCGCCGGCCUUGAGAGCCGGUGGCGCUUUGCGCCGCGGGAGUUCGAAUGGUUCGGACUGCG
rnacentral:tRNA from 1 species